rnacentral:rRNA from 1 species
UACGUAGGGUGCAAGCGUUAUCCGGAAUUAUUGGGCGUAAAGAGCUCGUAGGCGGUUUGUCGCGUCUGCUGUGAAAACCGGAGGCUCAACCUCCGGCCUGCAGUGGGUACGGGCAAACUAGAGUGCGGUAGGGGAGAUUGGAAUUCCUGGUGUAGCGGUGGAAUGCGCAGAUAUCAGGAGGAACACCGAUGGCGAAGGCAGAUCUCUGGGCCGUAACUGACGCUGAGGCGCGAAAGCCAGGGGAGCAAACGGG